UUUUGCCUACUACAGAGGGAGGGAGGCAGGCAAAAAAGUGGGAAGCCACAGGGACUGGGGAGUGGGUGUGCAGGGCUGUAUGUGUAAGUGGGGCAGCGGUGCCUGGGAGGAGGUAGCCAGCCCUUUUGUGCAUGUCCUGGUCAGCAUCAAAGAUGACUUAAUGAUGACAGCAACAACCCACGAGGUGGGUGUCAUUAUCCCAUUUGACGAAUGAGGGAACUGAGGCUCAGAGAGGUUAGGUAUCCUGCCCAGGGCCACACAAGUCAGUGGGAGAGCUGGGAUGUGGGCCCAGGUCUGUGUGACUUUAAGCCCAUGCCUUUCAUUGCCACAUUCCACCAUCUCCCCCCUAGGACUGCCAAUAAAGGGCCCUGGAGGCCAUAGGGUGGAGGAGAAGGGUGCCAUUUGCAUGUCAGAAGACUCACAUUGAAGGCUGCCUCUCUCACUGCCUUCCUGAUGAAGAACUGAAGUGAUCUGGACCAGGGAACUCUGGGUACCCCGUACCCUCUUUUUCCAUCCUGCUGCCCUCACUGCUUUUCCCAGCGUGCACCCCCACUGCUUUCCCUACUAUGGUCCCUCACCCCCGCAAAAGUUGGGGGAGGAUAAAGAGCACAUCCUUGGGAAGAACCUUCGGCGCAGCCAGACUUCCCCCGACUGGAUGCCUUUAACUAAGUCUGUGGGCAGGAGAGACUUUUUAUCCCUUGCAAGUUAAUGCAAACUGUUAGGGAGAUAAAUAAAUGACAGGGCUGCCGAUGGA